GACCGCAUAGCGCAGUGGAUUAGCGCGUUUGACUUCGGAUCAAAAGGUCGUGGGUCUGUGGUCG
rnacentral:tRNA from 1 species